rnacentral:lncRNA from 1 species
UCCAGCUUUAAGUAGAUGCCAAGGGAUGACACCGACUUGGAACAUCAGCCCGUAAACUAUAAACCGAAAUGUAGAAGUAAUUGAUACAUCUCAAUAAAACUCUGAAAUUUAUGGCCCUGCUUUUCUUUUUGCCGUAUAUCAGGGUCCUCAAUAUAUUAAGCGGCUAAAAUGGUGCUUUAAGACUACCUUUCAAUGGCUAAAGAAUAAUUAAAGUUUUUAUGUAAUCUGCAUGUUUCCUUAGAUAUCACUGUUAUCACUUCUUAGGCCAUUUAUCAAAGCCCUGACAGUUUCAAGGAUAAAAGAAGCUUACCUGCCACAGAUUUCUAGAAAGCAGCAACAUUCUUUGAAAUGUUUAUAAAUGGAAAAGUCAUCUUUCUUUGAAUUAGCUCUGAGGUAAAAGCCAAGUUAUACCCAGACUGGAGAGUUACUUUUCCUUUCAAGUCGUCUUUGCAUGCAGCAACCACACUGCCCCGAACACAUGUGCAGCCUGAGCUCCUGAGCAUAGGUGAGAAGCCUUCCGCUGGUUUUUAUGUUCACAUAUGUCUCUCUCUCCUGAU